GAGCUUUGUUAAUGCAUUUUAAAAUGAUGCAUGCAGGGUUUAAAUUUGACAUUAUAAAUAUCCUUAGGACAUCUGGUUUAUUUAGCUGUUUUUUUCUUCUUGUAUAUUUGAUUCACAAUGCAGGUCAUUUUGUCCCUAAUAUUUUUGUUUCAGUGGUUUGAUUUACUUAUGAUGGUCAAAUUUACAUUGAAGUUAGCAGGGAACAUUGUCCAUUGUGAUGUUUUGCCAGACCUCAUGGACUCAAACUUGAAGAAAAAUUGUUAGAAGAGGUGCUGAUCGUGACGGAUGUUUUCUUUAGUAGAUGUUUGUUAGUCAGCAGUGGUUUUUAUUCUCAGUCUCGCCACAGCCAAUUUUUCCUUGUGACGACACAAUGACAGAAAAACAAAUUUAUGUGUUGGUUAUUUUUGUAACCUGGCUUGUGAAGACCUGAAACCCCAAACUGCGUCAGCAUAUGACCUCAGUUUCCUUUUUUUCUCACAGAAAACCCAGUAGGUGUAUUAAAAUAUACUGUGAAUACAUGGAUUAGUGUCUGUGUUUGAUGAAGCAGCAUCACACUCUUCUGCAGGGAUUGGGCUCUUCUGGAAACUGGACUUUGGAGAAAUUAUGCUGAUCUUUGGACUGAUGCUGCUGCUGCAAACUGCUGCAUGUCUGGAUCGGUUCUGCAGGUUUAAUCAGUCUGAUAUCUGUUACGCAGCUCUGGGACACAAACUCAAUCUGCUGAUGGUGCGGGACGCUAGUAAAUAUGACACGACGAUACAAAAGAGAAUAAACAAAAACAAAACAAGUGAUCCAGUUUGUAGAGUAAAGAAUGGCAGGAUGAGGGAGAAAGAAUGUGAUCUUUAUAGUAACAGACCUGAAGUUGCAGUCAUUAAUGGGACUCUGAUAAUAAACCGUGUGAUCAGAGCAGAUUCAGGGAGUUACACAGUAACUUUAACUCCCUCAGACGGCUCAGUAACAUCUACAGAUCUUCAAGUGAAUGUUGAAGCUCCUGUUGGCUCAGUGGAAGUGUCCAUCAGCUGCUCCUCCAGUGGAGUGAAGAGGGCGUCCUGCUCCUCUGAGGGCGAGCAGAUCCUCUACAGCUGGAGUCUGAAUGGAGGUCCACUGAUGGAUGGAAACUCCAGCUUUGAUCUGAAUGAGGGAACUGAUGGAAACAUCAGCUGCAGUGUGAAGAACCACGUCAGUCACGGACAGAAGACCGUUAGUGUCAAACCCUGUCCUGUUUCAGGGUCUGUGUUUGUGCUGGUCUGGUGUUUUCAGCUGAUGGUUCUUUUGGGUUUGUUAGGAGGGUUUCACAUCUACAUGGGACACACGUCAGGAAAAAGUCAGGAAGAUUAUGAGAAUGAGAAGAUUUAGAGAACGACAUGAACACACAGCAGAAGAAUCAUGAGACCAGCAGCAGAUCAUCACAUCUAUGAGAAAUGACUUCAUAAUGUCACAGAUUCUCUCAUGAAUCCAGCUUUCACCUGUCGACAGCACGAGAUCCUACAGAAUAAGCCAGGAGACAUUUUCUACAGGUUUAGGUCUUCCUACUAGAAUUAAGCCUAGGUAGUACUAUUUUCUUACUAGGUUUAGGUUCUUUCUUUAAUUUAGUAUUUUUUUAAAUAAAUUUUUAAAUUUAGAAUUUUUUUUUUUUUUGUUAAAUUUUUGGUUGCUUAUUAUUCAUUUGUCUUUAUGCUUUGAAUGAACUAGCAAUAUUUUAUACCAUUACUUGAAACCUCUUCUGUUCAUGCAUGAUAUUUAUCUCUCUAAAUCAGAUCUGGCAGAUUGUGAAGUCAUUCUGUGUGUUUAUUUUCCAUAUCUUCUAGAAAUGGGUUUAUUUCACAUUCCUGCUCUUGCUCUUAUACUUUAUUCUGUUGAUUUUGGUGGAUUUAUUUUAUAAUACAAUGUCUCUUGUUUUGUGUUUGAUCUGUUUAAAGCUCUUGAUCCAUCAUCCGUGUCUCAGUUUUGGGGUGUCUGGUGUUUUCUGACUGUGUUUUUAAACUUUUGUUUACAUGUGCAGUUUUUUACCUGUUUAACCACAUUUGUGCAUUUUUCUUCAUAAGAUCUUUGUGUCAUUAUAGAAUAUUGAUAAACAUGUUCUUCUUUAAGAAUUAUAAAUGGAGUCAAUGCUGUAUUUGUUAUUUUUCUGAGUUAAAUUAAAAUAAAACUUUGAAAUUAAACUUUUUUUGCAGUCUCAAGCUCAUUCAUUUUGUUAAAUAGUCAAAAUAGUUAUAGAAAGCACACAUCAG
rnacentral:lncRNA from 1 species